rnacentral:rRNA from 1 species
GACGAACGCUGGCGGCGUGCUUAACACAUGCAAGUCGAACGGGUCUGCCCUGUUUUUUGCGGGGUGGGUCAGUGGCGAACGGGUGAGUAACACGUGAGUAACCUGCCCCUCACUUCUGGAUAACCGCUUGAAAGGGUGGCUAAUACGGGGUGUUCUGGCUGUGCCGCAUGGUGUGGCUGGGAAAGAUUCACUUUUGUGGUGUUUUGGUGGGGGAUGGGCUCGCGGCCUAUCAGCUUGUUGGUGGGGUGAUGGCCUGCCAAGGCUUUGACGGGUAGCCGGCCUGAGAGGGUGGGCGGUCACACUGAGACUGAGAUACGGCCCAGACUCCUGCGGGAGGCAGCAGUGGGGGGUAUUGCACAAUGGGCGGAAGCCUGAUGCAGCGACGUCGCGUGAGGGAUGGAGGCCUUCGGGUUGUGAACCUCUUUCGCCGGUGAAGAAGGUCCUGCUCUUUGUGGUGGGGUUGACGGUAGCCGGGUUAUGAAGCGCCGGCUAACUACGUG